rnacentral:rRNA from 1 species
AGAGUUUGAUCCUGGCUCAGGAUGAACGCUAGCGACAGGCCUAACACAUGCAAGUCGAGGGGCAGCGGAGAGGUAGCAAUACCUUUGCCGGCGACCGGCGCACGGGUGAGUAACACGUAUGCAAUCCACCUGUAACAGGGGGAUAACCCGGAGAAAUCCGGACUAAUACCCCAUAAUAUGGGCUCUCCGCAUGGAGGGUCCAUUAAAGAGAGCAAUUUUGGUUACAGACGAGCAUGCGCUCCAUUAGCCAGUUGGCGGGGUAACGGCCCACCAAAGCGACGAUGGAUAGGGGUUCUGAGAGGAAGGUCCCCCACAUUGGAACUGAGACACGGUCCAAACUCCUACGGGAGGCAGCAGUGAGGAAUAUUGGUCAAUGGGCGAGAGCCUGAACCAGCCAAGUCGCGUGAAGGAAGAAGGAUCUAUGGUUUGUAAACUUCUUUUAUAGGGGAAUAAAGUGGAGGACGUGUCCUUUUUUGUAUGUACCCUAUGAAUAAGCAUCGGCUAACUCCGUGCCAGCAGCCGCGGUAAUACGGAGGAUGCGAGCGUUAUCCGGAUUUAUUGGGUUUAAAGGGUGCGUAGGUGGUGAUUUAAGUCAGCGGUGAAAGUUUGUGGCUCAACCAUAAAAUUGCCGUUGAAACUGGGUUACUUGAGUGUGUUUGAGGUAGGCGGAAUGCGUGGUGUAGCGGUGAAAUGCAUAGAUAUCACGCAGAACUCCGAUUGCGAAGGCAGCUUACUAAACCAUAACUGACACUGAAGCACGAAAGCGUGGGGAUCAAACAGGAUUAGAUACCCUGGUAGUCCACGCAGUAAACGAUGAUUACUAGGAGUUUGCGAUACAAUGUAAGCUCUACAGCGAAAGCGUUAAGUAAUCCACCUGGGGAGUACGCCGGCAACGGUGAAACUCAAAGGAAUUGACGGGGGCCC